GCCGUGACGUCAGCGCGACCCCUGACCCCCUCGUGACCCGGUGACCUCCCCAUGACCCAUGUGACUCCUCGGCCCCGACCCCGUUCUCCUCCUGGCUCCGCGUUUGUUGACUGACUCUGCGAUGGUAAAACAGGCCCCGCCAUGGACGCCCUCACCCCGGGGUUUCCGCCCCCGAGACGCAGGGGCCCCGACUGAUGACAUCACCGCCUGAUGACCUCGCCGCGGUGGACGCCAUGGCCGCCGCCGACCUCGCCGCCUCCAGCCAUUCCGUGCCGCGUGCCUCCUCCUCCCCCCUGCGCGAUGAUGUCACCGCGGGGCGGGGCUCCCGCCUUGGCCCCGCCCCCUCCGCCCGCCCUUGCCUGACGUCAUCCGUCACGUGACUCCAUUUUCUACCAUGUAGAGAGAUUUCGCCCCCACCCCCUGCGGACGCCCCGCCCGCUACCCGUGAAGGGUGACAUCACUUCCUGUGAUGUCAUAAGGGGGCGGGGCCCGCAGACAUCGCCCACCAAUAAAAGAAAAGGUAUUUUUGAGA